GAUGAACGCUGGCGGCGUGGAUAAGGCAUGCAAGUCGAGCGCCCUAGCAAUAGGGAGCGGCGCACGGGUGAGUAACACGUGGGAAUCUACCCUUGACUACGGAACAACGUCGGGAAACUGACGCUAAUACCGUAUAAUGACUCCGGUCCAAAGAUUUAUCGGUCAGGGAUGAGCCCGCGUUAGAUUAGGUAGUUGGUGAGGUAAUGGCUCACCAAGCCUACGAUCUAUAGCUGGUCUGAGAGGAUGAUGAGCCACACUGGAACUGAGACACGGCCCAGACUCCUACGGGAAGCAGCAGUAAGGAAUAUUGGACAAUGGGGGCAGCCCUGAUCCAGCCAUGCCGCGUGAGUGACGAAGGCCUUCGGGUUGUAAAGCUCUUUCGGAUGUGAAGAUAAUGACAGUAGCAUAAGAAGAAGCUCCGGCUAAACUCGUGCCAGCCGCCGCCGUAA
rnacentral:rRNA from 1 species